CGGGUGAGUAACGCGUGGAAAACCUGCCGUAUACUGGGGAUAACACUUAGUAAAAUAGGUGCUAAUACCGCAUAAGCGCACAGCUUCGCAUGAAGUGGUGUGAAAAACUCUGGUGGUAUACGAUGGUUCCGCGUCUGAUUAGCUUGUUGGUGGGGUAAUGGCUCACCAAGGCGACGAUCAGUAGCCGGCCUGAGAGGGUGAACGGCCACAUUGGGACUGAGACACGGCCCAAACUCCUACGGAAGGCAGCAG
rnacentral:rRNA from 1 species